GGGUUAGUGGCGGACGGGUGAGUAACGCGUGAGAAUCUGCCCUCAGGAGGGGGACAACAGCUGGAAACGGCUGCUAAUACCCCAUAUGCCGCGAGGUGAAAUGAAUUUCGCCUGAGGAUGAGCUCGCGUCUGAUUAGCUAGUUGGUGUAGGUAAUGGCUCACCAAGGCAUCGAUCAGUAGCUGGUCUGAGAGGAUGAUCAGCCACACUGGGACUGAGACACGACCCAGACUCCUACGGGAGGCAGCAGUGGGGAAUUUUCCGCAAUGGGCGAAAGCCUGACGGAGCAACGCCGCGUGAGGGAUGAAGGCCUCUGGGCUGUAAACCUCUUUUAUCAAGGAAGAAGAUCUGACGGUACUUGAUGAAUAAGCCACGGCUAAUUCCGUGCCAGCAGCCGCGGUAAUACGGGAGUGGCAAGCGUUAUCCGGAAUUAUUGGGCGUAAAGCGUCCGCAGGCGGCCCUUCAAGUCUGCUGUUAAAAAGUGGAGCUUAACUCCAUCAUGGCAGUGGAAACUGUUGGGCUUGAGUGUGGUAGGGGCAGAGGGAAUUCCCGGUGUAGCGGUGAAAUGCGUAGAUAUCGGGAAGAACACCAGUGGCGAAGGCGCUCUGCUGGGCCAUCACUGACGCUCAUGGACGAAAGCCAGGGGAGCGAAAGGGAUUAGAUACCCCUGUAGUCCUGGCCGUAAACGAUGAACACUAGGUGUCGGGGGAAUCGACCCCCUCGGUGUCG
rnacentral:rRNA from 1 species